rnacentral:lncRNA from 10 species
GUUAUGUAUGUAUAGGAAAAAACAUUGUAUACAGAGUUCGGUACUAUCCAAGGUUUCAGGUAUCCACUGGGGUCUUGCAACGUGUCCCCCGUGGAUGGCUAUAAGUACCUGUUAUGGGGUUGCUGUGAGGAUUAAGUGAAUUAACACAUGUGAAACACGUAGACCUGUGCCUAAUGUGUAGUAAGUGCUCAGUAAAUGUGGGCCACUAACACCGCCCAAGAUGCUUCCACAGAGGUUCUUAUGGCUAACACAUGUGCAGACCUGGUGGGGCAGCCCCUUCUGAUUAGAAAUGAGGAAACCCAGAGAAGCAGAUCCCUCCCAGGGGUGUUCAGUGAACCCUGUGACCAUAUACCUUUGCAGUCUGUGUGUUGGGAGAAGUGUUUUGGGACAGGGGAGCCAGACCUGCUGGAUAGAUGAAGGCACAGAGUGGCUGGACCCAUGAGUGGAGCUGGGUUACUUCCAGGAGCUGUCCCCUUCCUUCUAGCUCUCCUUGGAGGGCACCUGGAACCACAGCCAGCUUCCCUCACCUGGGAGCAAGUGUCUCCUUUGUGGUUUAUCUGCAGUCCCGUUCCUCUUCCUCCUCUGCUGGGUCCAGGCUGAGUUCUUGCAGAGCAAGGGCAAUGUCUCAGGAUCUCCAAUCCACAGGCAUUGGCACCAAGUAGGUAUCCGGUAAAUCUGUCUUUGGGGACAAGAGGGAAUUUCUCCAGCACUAAAGAAGUGACUGGGUGGCAUGUUUACAUGUGAUGUCAAUUUGAGGUUAAACCAAUGGUAGCUAAUUGGGGUGCAUCCAAUAUUUGGGAUUCUCCUUCAACAGAGAGAAUGACAAAAGUGAGUUGAUAGACAGGAUCCAGACGCCUAACCAAGGGUCAGGUGGGGCAAGAAGGACCUUAAGACAAUUUGAUUGGAAUUGCUUGUUUCUGUUGCUCUUUCAUUGAAUUCCAGGGUUCUUGGAAUCAUGGAGCAUUGGCAAUGUGUCUCUGUGUCCCAGCACCUUAACACAGGGCCAGGCACAGGAUGGGCAAGUCCAUGAAUGGCUGUGGCCUGGAAAACCGCAUGGCCUGGAGAGAGAAGAACUGUAUUCAAGUUUGGGCUGGGCACUUUGACGCUCCCAUGAGACUUUUAGCAAAUCGUAUCUUCUCUGAGCUUCAAUAUUCCCACCCAUACAGUGGGAACCUGGAAAACAAGUCCAGCCCUGCGUACUUCAUACAGUUAUGAAGUUUAAGUCAGGAAAUAGCUGCACAGCUGAGGGACUCUAUUUACUUUGUGAAUUGGCUUUUGAAUUUUGCUGCAGUCCUGUUUUGGGUCAACUGGGUUUUGAUGAGAACCUGUCUCUGCAAUAGCCAGAGCCAAGGAAAGGGAAGGAGUUGAGAGGAGGGUGCCUGGAGGCAGAGGGAGAAGCCAAGAUAUCACUGGGAAGGAGGAGGAGGUGGAAGGGAGGAGGCCAUCUGUAAUCUCUUAGGCUGAUGUAUCCCCUGCAGCCCUCAGAAGGAUAUCAGGACUGCUCUCUGCCAACCUAUUAACCAAGCUAGAAGCCUGCUGGUAAUGAUGGUGAAGACACUGACUGUGGCUGACUGGCUCUGGGUCUUAUUUUUUUACCCCCUGCAAUAGGAUUGUAUAUCUCUACCUUUUUCCAUGUGACUUUACAGUGCCCCCCAACUGUGAGUGGAGUACACGUUCCCACCUCAUUGAUGUCAGCUUGGCUAGCUGACUUGUUUUGCCCAAUGGGAUGCUAAGAGUGUUCGGAGGCCUUAAAUGUUCUAGAACAACUUGGCCUCUUGUACAGAACUCCUAGGAUCUUCCACGAGAAGAAUACGCCCUGCUACCUGCUGGUCCAAGAAGAAGGUGCAGACACACGCAUAGGUAUGAACCCAACCCAGAGUUUGGAGCCAAGCACAGCUGCCCUGCAGCCUGACACAGAGCUGCCCCAGCCACCUCAGACACCCAAGAGUGACACAGAUCAAAUGCUUUCGGUGGUAGGUCACUGAGUUUUGGAAAGGCCUGUUAUGCAGCAUGAUUGCAGUCUGAUACUCUGAUAAUGGCAACGAGGAUAACACAGGCUGUUCUCACUUUGCACAGCUCCAUGGCAACUGAAAAUUGUAAAGUGAGAGCAUGGUGAUGAUAUCCGUGAGUUUCAGUUAACAUGGUACCAUGCAAAACAAGGAGGCCGAUGAGACUUGAUAAUAAUGUUUCUCUUUUAAAAAGCAUCAGAUGCCCUACAUGUGUAGAACAGAUGGCCGAUGCCUGUAACAACAUAAACAGAAAAUAAGAUGCCAUAUAGCUUACUGAGUAAAAGAGCUUGGCCUCUGAAGUCAAGCAGUCAUAGAUUUGAAUUCUGACUUUGCCACAAUCAAGCUUUGUGAUUUAGGACAAAUCACCUGGCCUCUCUGAGUCUUAGGUGCUUCAUCUUUGAAAUGAGGAUAAUAAGGGCAAGCGCAGUGCCUCACGCCUAUAAUCCCAGCACUUUGGGAGGCCAAGGCGGGCGGAUCACUUGAGGUCAGGAGUUCGAGACCAGCCUGGCCAACAUGGUGAAACCCCUUCUCUACUAAAAAUACAAAAAUUUGCCUGGCCAUUGUGGUGAGUGCCUGUAAUCCCAGCUACUCAGGAGGCUGAGACAGAAGAGUCGCUUGAACCUCGGAGGUGGAGGUUGCAGUGAGCCGAGAUCAUGCUACUGCACUCCAACCUGGGUGACUGAGUGAGACUGUCUCAAAAGAAAAAAAAAAAAGAAAUGAGGAUAAUGAUAAUUUUUGUGAGGACACAUGGUAUUAACAUUUUUAAUAAAGUCCCUGCCACCCAGUGAGUGCU